ensembl:rRNA 5S_rRNA 5S ribosomal RNA
UUCAACAGGUGUCAUUUUUUCAUUUACAUACAUUUGUACACAGCAAGCUAAGCAGGAUCAGACCUGGUUAGUACUUGGAUGGGAGACCUCCUGGGAAUAUCGGAGUCUGUAGGCU